rnacentral:rRNA from 1 species
UGGGGAAUCUUGCGCAAUGGCCGAGAGGCUGACGCAGCGACGCCGCGUGUGGGAGGACGCCUUUCGGGGUGUAAACCACUGUUGCCCGGGACGAACUCCUCUAUGCGUAGAGGUUGACGGUACCGGGUGAGGAAGCACCGGCUAACUCCGUGCCAGCAGCCGCGGUAAUACGGAGGGUGCGAGCGUUGUCCGGAAUCAUUGGGCGUAAAGGGCGCGUAGGUGGCCCGGUCAGUCUUUGGUGAAAGCGCGGGGCUCAACCCUGCGUCGGCCAGGGAUACUGCCGCGGCUGGAGCACUGUAGAGGCAGGCGGAAUUCCGGGUGUAGCGGUGGAAUGCGUAGAGAUCCGGAAGAACACCGGUGGCGAAGGCGGCCUGCUGGGCAGUUGUUGACACUGAGGCGCGACAGCGUGGGGAGCAAACAGG